rnacentral:rRNA from 1 species
GUCUAUGGCCAUGCUAACUCUGAACAUGCUCAAUCCCGUCUGAUCUCGGAAGCUAAGCAGGGUCGAACCUGGUUAGUACUUGGAUGGGAGACCACCUAGGAAGACCAGGUGCUGUAGGUA